UUCAUUUUCUUACUCCCCUUUUUGAAGCAAAAGCUGCGCUAGGGCAGUUACGAAAACUCUCCUCCGAGCUAGCGGAAUGUUCCUUCCUCCACCUCUAUAGUUGUUUCUGGAGCUGUAGUACCUUUCCUUUGGGGAUGACUUUUUUUACUGAGUUAACCUCUCUGUUAAGGUAAGGGAAGCUAGGGCUUUAAAAUUUUGUUUAACUGUCUUGCAUGGUUUUGGUCUUGAAUCGUGCUUAAAAUGUUGCUUUGAUGUUUAUGGUUAUGUUUUCUAUUUGUGUUGUUUGGGAUUUUUUGCAUUUGCAUGCUAAAACUAGUAAAAACCUGUUAUUCUAGCUUAAGCGAGAUCAGUCUAGCUUAAGUGAAAAUUUCUGGCUUAAGCGAGGUCAAUGUAGCUUAAGUGAGAAUUUAUAGCUUAAGCGAAAAUAACAUAAUUUCACUUUGCUCUCUGUUCGAAUUUCACUUUGCAUAAAGUAAACACACAUCCUAACCUAAAAAAGAAAAUUAAAGGAAUGAGAUGUGUGCUUAGUGAAAACGCAGGUACAUGAAGUUAUCAAAAAACUAAAUACAAGGGGUGUGGGGUUAUUACAUUGAGGAGUGCAUGUAGUAAAUAAAUAGAGCUCAAAUUAAAAGUAGGGGUGCGCAAAUUAAAUUAUGGAGGUGCAUGGAGAAAAAAUUAAAUUUGUCAACCCUAGGUCAUAAUAAAACACAACAUCUCGAACUUAACCCUUAAACUUCAUCUUCUUUCUUUCGCAAACGGCCACCACGCAAACACCCCUACUCGAGACCCACAACCAGACCACCGACGACGGUAGUAGCGGCGACAACGACAACCACUCUCGAACCUGCUAUCACCAACAACGACAACAACCAUGGAUUCGCCUCUAUCCAUACGCCUAGCCUUUUCCUCAUCGAGCCACCACUGUCCGCGAGACUACCAGCAACGACAGUGCGACCCCAAUGUCGUCCACGAUGUCAGCAACGUCAACAUAACGGCUCCUUCUCGCAUUUGUUCGCAUCAUCCCAAAAUCAAACACUUAAGGUUCAACCAUGGCACACCACUUCCCCUGCUGCGACCACUACAACAAUGCUGGCGACCACUACAAACCACUACACCAGCGCUCUUAUUCCUCCAUUUCCUUUAUUUAUUAGUUAGCCAAUUUUACUGUUUGUGUAAAAUAGAGAAUCUCUUGUUUGAUGUUCAACUUUCAAUUUAUUAUUUUUGAUCGGAAUGUCUACUGCCAUUAAUCAUACACAAUAACGAAAUAAACACAAAACAUCAUUUGGAAA